rnacentral:rRNA from 1 species
GGGGGACUGCGGAAGGAUCAUUA